CUUGCCUGGGCCAAUCCUGAGGGAGGCAGUGCUGGGAAUGGAAGCUGAGUUGGACUUCAUUUUUCAGGCCUGUGUUAUUCAUUCCAUCAUUCUCUCAGUCAGUAUUUCUGGAGCACUCAGGAUGUUUAGCAUGGGUCUAAGAUCUGGAAAUGCAAAUAGGAAUAAUGCUUACACCCUUUCUGCUUUUGAGGAAAACAAACGUGGAGACCACCAAUGAAAACACAGAUUAUAUCUUUAAAUUCCAGGAAUCUCAUCACAGCAAUUCUAAGACUGAAGAGGCUGUGGACAGCUCAUGGAGCACGUCUUCUUUUUUUAUUAGGCCAACACCAAAACGAUUUCAGCCUGGCAAAGAACUCUGUUUCAGUAAAGCCCUGGAGAAAGUGCAUCAUACAUAUUCCUCUGCAAUUCACUGGGCACUUACAGACACUCAAGGCUGGGACUCAAGUCAUUGAAUCAGUCAACAAACCUGAAAGCCUAAGGAAAGAGGAGGUGUUGCUGGAGAUGGCUGGACAAUGGAAGAAGGAUGCUUGGCCGAGGGCAGGAGCAGAGGGUUACCCCAGUGACUUGGGAGAAGUGCUGGAGGAAACUCAGGACUUGUUUGAGGGUCACCCAUGAGUUUGGCUAGUUCACUGUAAUAGUGAGCAUAAGAUACCUCAAAGUUUAAUUGCUUGAGAGAAGAGCAUGUGGUCUGUGUGAGGCCGGAAAACAUCAUGGAAAAAGAAUGAGAUGGAUUGUGAGUGCAUGCAUGAGCAUGGAACCU
rnacentral:lncRNA from 1 species